rnacentral:rRNA from 1 species
AGAGUUUGAUCCUGGCUCAGGAUGAACGCUGGCGGCGUGCCUAACACAUGCAAGUCGAACGGAUCCAUAUUGAAACCUAGUGAUGUAUGGAUUAGUGGCGGACGGGUGAGUAACGCGUGGAUAACCUGCCGUAUACAGGGGGAUAACACUUAGAAAUAGGUGCUAAUACCGCAUAAGCGCACGGUUCCGCAUGGAACAGUGUGAAAAACUUCGGUGGUAUACGAUGGAUCCGCGUCUGAUUAGCCAGUUGGCGGGGUAACGGCCCACCAAAGCGACGAUCAGUAGCCGGCCUGAGAGGGUGAACGGCCACAUUGGGACUGAGACACGGCCCAAACUCCUACGGGAGGCAGCAGUGGGGAAUAUUGCACAAUGGGGGAAACCCUGAUGCAGCGACGCCGCGUGAGUGAAGAAGUAUCUCGGUACGUAAAGCUCUAUCAGCAGGGAAGAAAAUAACGGUACCUGAUUAAGAAGCCCCGGCUAACUACGUG